AGCAAGUUGAGCAAAUUGUUUCUUCCCUGUUCAAGCAGAGGACAUGUUUUUGCUUGGAUUUACUGGUACCAGGUAUUUCUGUAUGAGGAUCUAGGUCUAUCCAGCUGUUAAAAUAUCACUCUGGAUUUAUGCUAUUGUAGGAGGGAACAAAAUGCAGCCUGCAUUUGGUGUGAGGUGCAAGCAUUUGGAAAGGUCAAAGGAAAAAGUGUGCUUGGAAUAGUCCUGGAGAGGAGGGCUUCUUCCGAGUGGUGGUUUCUGCUGGGGAGAGCAGUCCUCUGCUGCUCAAAGGCAGUCCAGAGCCCUCUACCUCUGCAUUAAUAUUCCGCAAUAGUAAAAGGAAACCAUCUUCUGGGAAACUACGGUUUGGCAAUGGAAAAAAAAUAAAAAGACGAAUGGAUGUGGGGGCAGUGGGUCACAGCAGUGCAGGGCGCGAGGGUGGGAGGACUUGGGGCAGGGUUGGUGCUGGGGUGGCUAUGCAGCUUUCCCAACCCGCCGUGCCCACAGCUCCCCGCUCCGUCCUCAUCCUGGUUUAAUCGCUGCUGACGGCUCCUCAGCGCAGGGCGUGGGAUUGCUCAUGCUGAAGGAAAGCCUGUCUGUGCGGCUGGUGCCCCUUCGUCGGUGUGCAGAACCCAUGCAGUGGACCCUGCCGUGGUGUCACUGCUGAGGGGCAUCUCACUGAAUAUACACUGGUUUACAUGGCUAAGAUGGACAGGUGUGUGAUCACAGUCAUCUGGGCUCAACAUCCUCCUUCCUAUGGUGACUAAGGGUUAUGGGCACAUUAAUAGUAACUGUGUUUUAGCGUCCCAGAGUUUCAGUAAAACAAAUGUAUAAUUCUGACACCUUGUAACAAGGUAGAAAAUUGCUUCAAAAAUUAAUGUAAUUUGUGGAGAAAUACUUCCUGUACAUGCAAGUUUUUAAACCUGAGUCUAGGGUGGGAACAAUAACUAUCACAGCUGACUUUGUUGUAUGCCUUCUGGUAAUACCAGAAGAAGAGGCUGAUUUUUCUGUGAUGUUUUACUCCAGGGAGGAGAGAAGAACUACUAGAUGAGGGAUUUCAUCUGUGUGUGAGACACUGUAAUGUGCUCAAGGCCAUGGAGGAGGAGCUGCUAUAGAAACAGUCAAGUACCAGUGAGCUGUUGGUGCCAGGCCCUGCACAUGCAGCCUGUGCCUAUCCUUCAGCCCCAGCAGACCCUGCUCCUCCUGGCCAGGAUGUGCAGCUACCUCCCUGCCUCCAGUGGAACCCACUGCUGAUUUUGUGGCAUUAAAAUUACAGGUGUCAGGACAUCAUACAACAUCUACACAUCAGGACAAUGAAUGUGUCCAACAACUGCAAUGGCACAAAUCUAGAACUGUAUCACCAUGUUCGUCUCAUUGAAUUUGCUCUGUAUAACCUAAUUUUCUUUUUUGGAGCACUAUUUAAUGGCCUUGCCCUCUGGGUGUUCUUCUGCAAGAUGAAGAAGUGGACAGAAACCAGGGUGUAUGUAAUCAAUUUAGUCUUUGCAGACUGCUUCGUCAUCUGCACCUUGCCUUCCAUGGCUUAUUUGCUCUGGAAUAAGUCAACCCGAGAUUACCUCUGCCAGUUUACAGAGGCAAUGUAUUUUGUCAACAUGGUAGUGAGCAUCUACAUAAUUUCAUUUAUCUCCAUCGAUCGAUACGUUGCCAUAAAGCACCCCUUGAAAGCCAGGACCUUCAGAUCUCCAUCAAAGGCUGCCCUCCUCUGUGGGCUUCUGUGGGUCUCCGUGAUAAUUGGUGUCACCUUACAUCUUUGGCAGAGAGACACAGCGCUCUGCUUUCAGAAGGAUACCACCGCACCCGCCUCUCUGAGCCUGCUUUCCAUUUUCUUCGUUUUUACUCUUCCAUUAGCAAUCUUGACUUUUUGCUCCACAGAAGUAAUUAGGAACCUUAAGAGACAUCUGAACACAAAUUCACCAGAGGAGAAAUUAAUCCAGAAAGCUGUUCACAUUAUUUAUGCAAAUCUGAUUGUAUUUCUAAUAUGUUUUCUGCCAGCCUACCUUGGGCAACUUGCCAGGUUCAUAAUGGACAGUGUCGGAGCUACCUGUUUCCUGCUCCAGGUUAUGAAGAGCUACUCCUCUGUGACAAGGUGUAUUGCCACAUCUAACUGCUGCCUGGAUAGCAUCUGCUACUACUUUGUGACAAAGGAGUUCCAUGAAGCCCUUGUACUGCCCAAACCCAGCACUGAAAAAACAGAUCAAAUCUACCCCUCGGAGACACACACUUGCUAGGGGCAGGGAGGGGGGGGACACAAAAAACAUCAAAUCCAAAAAACCCCAAAACAACUCUGUACCAUCAAGAGAAGACACAACUUCAGCAUUAUUGGGAUAACUACUGCUCUUUCUCUCUAGGGAGAUCUUUGUUAGGUAUAGCAUUACUAAGUUAAUUGUGAUUUAUACACUCUGCUUCUAUUAAACAGAUAAGUGAUUUCACAGAGAUGUGUAAAAGUGUGUAUGUAGUUGCUGGUUGUUCACAUGUCUCCAUUCCACCCUCCAGCACCUAUUUGUUACUCUUACAGGAAGACAGGUGGCCCACGUAUACCUCCCUGUUUUACUUCAUUUUGCCGCUAAAGUCAAUUGAUCCAUAUUGUCAGCACGUACAAAAGAAUAUAUCAUCUUUUACCUCAUUGUGUAUUUCAGGCUGUUUGCAUUAUUAAAAUAAUCCAGUUUAUUUUUAUCAUCUCCCUUUGGUGGGCUGGGGGGUGUGGUUCAGACGGUACCAGAAUAUUACUAAGUACAUGGCCUUACAAAACAACCUAGACUCUGCUGACUGUCCUUCCCCUUCAAGUCAAUGGGUCAGACAGAUGUGAAGGAACACUUUUAGGAUGAAAGCAAGACUUGUCGAGUGCCAUAGAAGCACAAAGUCCAGGAGAUUUCAGAGCUGAGUCCUCCUGCCAGCUCCCCUCCUGCUGCACUGCUG